GACGAACGCUGGCGGCGUGCCUAACACAUGCAAGUCGAGCGAGUGAAUCUCCUUCGGGAGUGAAGCUAGCGGCGGACGGGUGAGUAACACGUGGGCAACCUGCCUCGUAGAGGGGAAUAGCCUUCCGAAAGGAAGAUUAAUACCGCAUAAGAUUGUAGCUUCGCAUGAAGUAGCAAUUAACGGAGCAAUCCGCUAUGAGAUGGGCCCGCGGCGCAUUAGCUAGUUGGUGAGGUAACGGCUCACCAAGGCGACGAUGCGUAGCCGACCUGAGAGGGUGAUCGGCCACAUUGGGACUGAGACACGGCCCAGACUCCUACGGGAGGCAGCAGUGGGGAAUAUUGCACAAUGGGGGAAACCCUGAUGCAGCAACGCCGCGUGAGUGAUGACGGCCUUCGGGUUGUAAAGCUCUGUCUUCAGGGACGAUAAUGACGGUACCUGAGGAGGAAGCCACGGCUAACUACGUGCCAGCCGCCGCCGUAA
rnacentral:rRNA from 1 species